rnacentral:misc_RNA from 1 species
UGGCAUCCAAGAUGGUUAAUAUUGU